GCAGUCGAGCGGCAGCACAAGGGAGUUUACUCCUGAGGUGGCGAGCGGCGGACGGGUGAGUAAUGCCUAGGGAUCUGCCCAGUCGUGGGGGAUAACAGUUGGAAACGACUGCUAAUACCGCAUACGCCCUACGGGGGAAAGGAGGGGACCUUCGGGCCUUCCGCGAUUGGAUGAACCUAGGUGGGAUUAGCUAGUUGGUGAGGUAAUGGCUCACCAAGGCGACGAUCCCUAGCUGUUCUGAGAGGAUGAUCAGCCACACUGGGACUGAGACACGGCCCAGACUCCUACGGGAGGCAGCAGUGGGGAAUAUUGCACAAUGGGGGAAACCCUGAUGCAGCCAUGCCGCGUGUGUGAAGAAGGCCUUCGGGUUGUAAAGCACUUUCACUACAGAAGAAAGAAGAGGAGCUAAUUCGGCAGCUGACGUACUACAGAGAAGGACCGCUAUCAGUGCCAGCAGCGCGUAUACGAGGGUCAGCGUAAUCGAUACUGGCGUAAGCGUGCGCAGCGUUGUUAGCGAGAUGUGAAGCCCCGGCUCAACCUGGGAAUGCAUUCGAACUGGCAACUAGAGUCUGUAGAGGGGGGUAGAAUUCCAGUGUAGCGGUGAAUGCGUAGAGAUCUGGAGGAAUACCGGUGGCGAAGGCGG
rnacentral:rRNA from 1 species